CUAACCUCUUUGAGAUUCUUCCCUCGACAAUUUUCUCUCUUAUGUUCUCAGGUUUUGAAGCAAGGUCUUCUCUUUGCAUCUCGAUUUCUUUUUCCUUCUUCACAGUGGUUUCAGGAAUAUCUUCAAUAGAUACAAACUGAACCUGUGGACUAGCCACAACUUGCAUUGCAAUAUCAUCAACCAACUCCUUGAAUUUCUCACUUCUGCCAACAAAGUCGGUUUCGCAGUUCACUUCAAUUAGAACUCCGAUGCGUGAAUCGUGAAUGUAUGUACCAAUUCUUCCUUCAGCUGCUAGCCUGCCAGAUUUCUUGUCAGCAGAUGACAGCCCCUUUUUCCUGAGAUAUGCCUGCGCCUUUUCAAGAUCACCUUCUGUUUCAGCAAGAGCUUUCUUACAGUCCAUCAUCCCCGCACCAGUUUCUUCCCUUAAUUGCUUAACCAGUGAGGCCGAGAUCACUACUGUUGGUUUCCUGCGACACAACAUUGAACAAUUUAAGACUUGCAGCUAAAGCAUCGGUUUUUUUUUUUCCUCUUAAUUUUUCUUAUGUACAACUGACAACUACAUAUGUCGUUAUUACAUUCAGUUUUGCAUUUUCCCAAAUUAUUACUGGUGUGGACGUGUCAGUCUCGUGUUUGUCCUUUCAUAGACUGACACUAACACGUCACACACAGUUACACCUUAGGAUAAAUUUUGUCUAUACCAAGAAUAAUUCAUUAAUAGGACACUGACAAAAUGCAAGCCAUUGCUUCCACGUUUUAGCACACAACUGAGUCAAUUAAUACUUUUAAGUGUUGUAAAUAACAUAUAUUUAUAAUUAUUUGUAAUAAUUGUUUGAAACAAAUCACCAUAAUUUAAUAAUUAAAUAACUACUUAAUAACAAGUAGGGAAUUCAUAGAACUACUUACUUUGGUUCAGUCUCCUUGGCUUCUGCAGCAGCAGGCUCCUCUUGCACCAGUGUAGUCACUGGUUUUGCUGCAGUUUGUGCAGCCACUUCAGCAGCAAAAUCCUGGCUUUUCUUUUCUAAACCCUCUCCGAGGUUGAACCGUACAAACCUUGUAACUUUAAUAUUUUCUCCGAUUGUUGCAAUUGUCUGCUUAACCACAUCCUUUACCGUCAAUUUAUCGUUCUUGAUGUAGGGCUGCUCAAGCAAGGCCAAAUUCUCGAGUCUUUUCCUUAUCCGUCCUUCAACAAUCCUUGAUCUAAUUUGCUCCGGUUUUGACGCAAGAUCUUCUUUUUGCAUUUCUAUCUCUGUUUCUUUGUUCACGAAUUCCUCAGGAACGUCUUCGGUAACAACAUACUCUACUUGAGGGCAUGCAGCCACUUGCAUGGCUAUAUCAUCAACAAGCUCUUUAAAAAUGUCGCCUCGGGAGACAAAAUCUGUCUCGCAGUUUACUUCAAUUAAAACACCAAUCCUGCUGUCAUGAAUGUAAGAACCUAUCCUUCCUUCAGCAGUUGCUCUUGCUGCUUUCUUAUCUGCACUUGCUAAGCCUUUUU
rnacentral:lncRNA from 1 species